rnacentral:rRNA from 1 species
UACGAAGGGGGCUAGCGUUGCUCGGAAUCACUGGGCGUAAAGGGUGCGUAGGCGGGUCUUUAAGUCAGGGGUGAAAUCCUGGAGCUCAACUCCAGAACUGCCUUUGAUACUGAGGAUCUUGAGUUCGGGAGAGGUGAGUGGAACUGCGAGUGUAGAGGUGAAAUUCGUAGAUAUUCGCAAGAACACCAGUGGCGAAGGCGGCUCACUGGCCCGAUACUGACGCUGAGGCACGAAAGCGUGGGGAGCAAAGCAGGAUUAUGACC